AUAUAUUUCUAUUUAAGUGCCUAAAUCCCACUGUAACAGAGAGUCUAAUCCCUCCUAGACAAGCACACAAUAAAAUUAAUUUUAAGAUUUUUCCAGUGAAGUGUUAACUGAAAGAACUGAACUGGAGAAGACAAGGAUAUUAAUAAUUGCAUUACAUGUGCAUCCUUCCUUUCUCUUAAAAAUACCUAAUUGUGCCACAGGAAAAGGAGAGAGAAACAUUAAAUUUGUAAACAGAACAAGUCAAGCAAAGUGAGAAUGGCGAUGCUUGAUCCUGGAAACUCCUUUAGAAACAUAUUGCCUAAUAGACAGGUAUCCCCUUAAAAACAUUUUAAAUACAAGAUACUUCUAUACUGAGGUCAAAUUAUGUCUAUUAAAAAUAUAAAUAAAAAUUAAUCCAAACACAGAUAAAAUACUAGAAUUAAAAUAUUUAAUUUCAAGUAAUUGAAUUCUUUGUAUAGUCAGUGUGAAUAAUAGCCUAGUUCACUAUACCACAAACAGUAAAGAUAAUAUUUGCUUCAUAUCACAUAAUAGCAGGAUAUCUUAAUGUGAUCUGUGAAACUCAAAAUAUUAAAAUAAAAGGGGUAGUUGCUAGAAGUAAACAGUUUUCCUUUCCUAUCAGUAUUUUUCAUUAUUAUGAAUUCACUUAUUUAAAACCAGAAGGAAGUUCAAACAAGCUUUCAAAUUUAUGGAAAGGAAGUUUGGGUUAAGGCAGCUGCAUGUGUUAAUAUUGUAUAACACAGUAAAUCACUGGAUUAGCUGAGCUGCUAGUCCUAGCUUCAUGCAUUUUACCUCAUGUUUCCCUUAAACUAAAUCUAAGAAUGAUAGUUUGAUACUAGAUAGUUGUGGUUUGACUGGCUCAAUGAGUGUGAUCUACAGCCAUGUGGAUAGUAUGCUUACUUCUUACAUACUUUUUAAGAAUGAGGUUUCGUUAUCAUAGUACUUUGAAAUACUCUUUAGAGUUUUGUGGUUUGCUUUUUUGUUUUCACCUCCAAGGAUGCAGUGUUAUGUAUAUACUUUUCUUUUUGCAUGAUAGUUGAAUGGCCACACCUUUUUUCUCUGCUGCAGGAAAUAUGGCCUUUGCAAUUUGUCAAGGACUCUGCAGCAUCAUUUAAAAAUCUCAGGAAGUUCAUAUUGUAAAUCAUCCUCAUUUAAACUUUUUCUACCUUCACAGUUCUAAAAACAGCAUUAAAAAAAAGGGUCUGAUAAAAGUUAGCACCUUAUCCUUAAAUUUUUCUCAGUUUUUUUUUGCUGGAGAUAUUCUCUUGAACAUAUCAACAAAGUGAGAGGGAAUAAGAUAAAGUAGGAAGGCUUCUUGUUAACAAGAUAUUGUUAACCCCCACGCUCUCCCACACCCUCCAAAAAAUCAGACAAAGAAACACAGAAAGGUAUUGGAUUUAGAAUAAGAAUAUAAAGGACUUUUGCACAUAUCUAUUCACAAAUUGUGGACAUAUUUAGGACGGAUAAAUUUUUUAACCAUCAAAUAAAAACAUUCUCUUCAUAUCCAGCUCCAAAAGACAGAUGUAAUACUUCACAGAAUACUGUUCUAAAAACAAAAAAUUAGAUUUUUUUGGUGUCUUCUCCUUUUUGUGUAAAUCUCCCUGAUACCACAAAGAUAUUUCUGCUGACGGAGCUCAGCUGAAGUGCUAAGACAUAUUAAAGGACAAAAGCUGCACCAUUCAAAACACUUUUGAACAUGGAAGUCUAUUAUUUGAUCUGAAAAUAUCUCCUCACCUGUGACUCAGCACUUGAUGUGAAGUCUUACACUCACAACUCCAGUGCUCUUCAUCAUUACCUUAGGAUCAUCUCUCUUUAGUCUUUGAUGAUCACUUUAUGUCUUUAUCGCUUGCUACCUUUCAUUUCUAUCCAGAGUUUAAUUUGAGUUUUGCUCUGUUCCAUCUCACCUCCACAUUCAGUGAAAAUGCUGAAAUUCUACCAGCUCCCUGUCUUUGUGUUACCCUUGAAUCCACACAGCUCUUUCCCAUCUGUCACUUUAGAGCCAUCUUAAUCAUACCUUGCCUAUAAACAGCGAAAUGAAAACAUAAGAACUCAGCAUAUCCUAAUCACCCUCAAAUUACGUAGCACAACAAGAGCUAUGAAGGUGGAAUGGACAGGAGGACAGGCUCAUUAGGCAUACUGGGUCUGCAUUUUAAUGACUGUGCAUCAGUGUUGUCUGGGCUGUCUACCUCAGUGUGUUGGCAUGACCGCUCCUGUGAUAGCCAUACCCCAGUGUUCAUCCGCUGUUUUCCUUCUCCCAGUUUACACCAUUGUCAAAACACCUCCAGCACCUCUGUUUCCUUCUGUUCUGUAUUUAUAAUAUAUGUGUCUCCACACAACGUAAAUCCUCGUCCUAGCCUCCUUCACACACCUAUUAAAACAGUGCACAGCCUGGCAAACACCUGCCAAUGGUGUGGUACAGCUGUCAUCAGCAAGGUAAGAACAUCAGCUACCAGAAGAAGCAGGAGUUGCUGCUUCCAUCCAUUUUCUUUCCCAGGAGAAGGAGUUGCGCUGAUCCACAAUCUCCAAACAAGGUCACUAUGGGAAAAAAGGGAAGCUGCUCUCCCCUUCAAGCAAAGAGUCCUAACUGGGAGAAGAGGGACAAAUUAAGAAGCCCAUGAUGAAAAGUGGAAAGAACAAGACUGCUUAGAUUUCUUUAGCAAAGUAACAGGCGUGACCAACACUGUGCAGCAUCAUUUCACAUCUUCAUUCCCAGAUAAAGGAGAACUGUGGUUCAAGCCUUCUUUAUCCCAAGAAAGAUGCUACAACUGACUGUAAGGCCCACCUCCAGCUGUGACAGCAAUAACAGAAGUAAGUGGGCGAUGAAAAAUUUGGUUCAGUUGACCCUUAACUAUAUAUCUGUAUUACCUUUUAGUUGUCUUUAUGUUUUAUGAAUUAAAGUAGAAAUUAGAGAGUAGUUAAUUUAAUUUAAAAUAAAUUAUAUCACUCUGUCUGGAUUUUCUUUAGCAUUCUUGAAAGCUGUUCGUUGAUAAAAACCUAUCAAAUGGUUCUUAUUUUACUCCAUGGCUCAAAUGACAUUUAGCUUGAGCAUGAAGUUCUGAAGAUUUAAAUGUUGUUAUCGUACUUCACCCCUUGACAUUUAUUAACAUUUCAAAGCUCUCCAGCUUCUCAGGAUCUGCUAUCCAGUUUGAAGCUGACUUUUGUCAGUGCUGAAUACCAUCCGUGUCAGAAGAAAAAAGAAAAAUUUUUCAUCUGAAUAUUAUUAAUCCAUUUUCUCAAUGAGAAGAACAAUCUGAGUACUAGAGCCUCGUGCUGCCUUCUACUGCUAGGUGGAAAAAAAUCCUAAAAUUUGAAUUCACCAGGUUGCAAUUUUGCUACUUGAAAACAGCCCUUGUCUUUAAUUCCAAAGCAUAUUCAGGAGAAAGUGGAAAUCAAAGGAGGAUGAUAAGGAAAAAAAAAAUCACACAACCCCUCAACAGUGAUCAGUGCUUACAUCAGAAAAUACUGAAAAUAGUACCUUUUGAUCCAAUUUGUGUCAUUGGUUGCUAUGCCUGACAAUAGAGGUAAAAGGAAUGUGGUACAAGGGACUAAAGAUUCAGAUAAAAGCUUGAAGCAGGAGAUGUGGGCAAAGCAACAUCUCUAAAACAACACUGAAGGCAGAGCCACUUGAAAGUGAGAUUGAUCCUUGCCAUCUGUGAGUACUGAUCCUGGUCAAAUACAGAAGAGAAAAGAAACUGCAAGGAAUAUUGGGAAGAGCUAGAGGAAAGGCAGUUUGAACAGCACAGUUGCUAGACUGCUGAGAGGGGAAGGGAGAUGACAAUUUUGAUGAAGAAGGAAGAGCUUCUAAAAACUCACUUUCUAAGCUGUGCAGAGUUUGCUGCAGCACAGAAGGUUACUGAAUGACUCAAACCAAGCCUGGAAGCAAGAUACUCUUACAAAGACAUAUGAGGCAAUGGCGCAAUCUCGGCUCAUUUUCUCUAAGCUAUACAAGUUCACGGACGAGCUAUCUAGCCAGCCCUCCUCUCCCGACAUGGACCGCCCAGGCUGCUGCGUGCCGCCCGCCCUCUGAGAAGGCUCCUUCGCCCCGCGCAGAGGAGGAGGCGGAGGAGGAGGAGAAGGGGAGGAAGGCGCGGCCGCAGCCGCCGCUGCCCAGCCGCCGUCCCGCAGAGCGCUGGC